rnacentral:lncRNA from 1 species
AAAUAAAAAUAAAUAAAUAACAAAUGACAAAGUGUGAUAGUCACAGGUAAAGAUGGCCAAUGGGCCGGGCGGCACGUGUCCGUACAGAACGGCACGGCACGAGCACAUUUUGGUGAGGCACGAGCAUGUUUCGGUGAGGCACGAGGCACGGCACGGCACGCACGUGGGCCGUGCCGGACCUAGAAUUUUAGGCACGCAGGCCUUAAAACACGGCAUGAUUAGAGAUGGGCCAAAGCACGGCAAGCGAAAAAGCACAUAAUAAGCACGGUUCAUUAGUGGGCUAGCACACGGCCCGUGAGCCAUUAAUAGCACGUGGGCCAAAAUAUAUCUAAGUAAAUUUUUUUAACAAAAGGUAAAUAUAAAAUGUUAUGAAAUUAAAUUACAAUAUCUUGAAAUU